rnacentral:rRNA from 1 species
GCUUGUCUCAAAGAUUAAGCCAUGCAUGUCUCAGUAUAAACUUCUAUACGGUGAAACUGCGAAUGGCUCAUUAAAACAGUUAUAAUUUAUUUGAUGGUCGCUUACUACAUGGAUAACUGUGGUAAUUCUAGAGCUAAUACAUGCACAAAAACCCGACUUCGCAGAAGGGUUGUGUUUAUUAGAUCAAAACCAAACGGCUUCGGCCGUCUCAUUGGUGACUCUGAAUAACUUUGGGCUGAUCGUAUGGCCUUGUGCCGACGACGUUUCCUUCGAAGGUGUGCCCUAUCAACUGUCGACUGUGAUAUAGACGCUCACAGUGGUUUUGACGGGUAACGGGGAAUCAGGGUUCGAUUCCGGAGAGGGAGCCUUAAAAACGGCUACCACAUCCAAGGAAGGCAGCAGG